AAUUAGUGAUUAUUUAAAUUUUAUUAAAGUUUAUUAUGUUUGACUAUUUAGCAAUACUAAUUU
rnacentral:tRNA from 1 species